rnacentral:rRNA from 1 species
AAACAUAGCUCUUAGUAUAUAUUAGAUUAAGAGUGAAGCCUGCCCAGUGAGAAUAUUUUCUUUAACGGCUGCGGUAUUCUGACCGUACAAAGGUAGCAUAAUCAAUUGUUCCUUAAUUGGGGACUGGUAUGAAUGGCACAACGCAGAGAAGCUGUCUCUUUCUAGGUCUCUUGAAUUUGAGAAUAGAGUGCAGAAGCUCUACUAGUAUAGAAGGACGAGAAGACCCUAGGAGCUUAAAAGGUGUAAAUAGAAUGAGAAUACUUUGGAUUUGCAUGCUUUUUUCAUUGGGGCGAUGUCGAGUCAGGUUAAACACUCGAAGAUAAGAUUAAAUUUAUAAGAACCAGUACUUUAAGUGAGUAACUGAAUAAAACGAAGCUACCCUAGGGAUAACAGCUCAAUUUAUUUUCUGAGACCAAAUCAGGAAAUUAGCUUGAGACCUCGAUGUUGGACUAGAGAAACAGAUUGGUGCAGAAGCCUUUCUUUGUGAGACUGUUCGUCUCUUAAAUCUCUACAUGAUCUGA